AUUAAUAGUUAAGUAUAUCUUUAAUGUAUCGUAGAAAAAUACAGUAUAUAAAGACCAUGAUUUCAUGGGUUUCAUGACAUAGGAUGACAUUACAGAAGGUGAUUAUUUGUAAAGUCCAUUUAAAAACAUUAAGAAAUUAUAUAAAUAUAUAAACUGCUUUCUGAAGUGGCUCUCCUAUUUUAUAUUCCCUUCAACAGGGUUUGAAGGUUCUGGUUUCUCCACAUCCUUGUCAACAUUUGGGAUUGUCUGACUUAUUUAUUAUAGCCAUUUCUGUGACUGUGUAGUAGUCAUACAUAUUUUAAUUGAGAAAAUGUGUUUUUUUUGCUGAGAAAGUAUUUAGAUAUAAAUGAUAGUAGUUUUUAAAUACAUACCAUUGUAAGAUGGAGCUUGGAUACUGUGAAGCUCUAGAAGUAGAGCUAGAACUAAUGUAGACUUUAUAAAGAACCAAAUUCUGGCACAGUUAAGCAACACAUUAGUGCUGUGGACUCCUACAAAGGAGUGGUGACCUUCUUACUGAGGAUGUUUACAUGCAGCCCUAUCAGCAUUCUCCCAUCAGUGGAAAUCGACUGAAUGACUUCACCGGAGAAGGAGUGCAUCGUAAGGAUUUGGGAUGAUUGGCAGAAUCUAAGGAAAAGCGAUGAUAUUGGGAAAGGACGGGAUAGGAAGCAGCUCAUGGAAUCCAAGUAGCAGGAGCCAGUAGGCCGUUUCCUCAGAGAGCUACUGAAUGAGCACUAUUUUCUGACCUUAUGUCAUUGCACUCCAGACUUAAGUUUUCAAGGCAGACAGUCUGCGUGGCCUGGUUUAGUUUACACAGCCCUCCUUGGUCAGGAUGAGACAGAAUUGAUCAUCUCACCCAAAGGACAUGCAAUAAAGCAAAAAAAGUUCCCAGAAAAUCAUUGAAGUGCUUUUACCAAAAGAAGAAGCCGCUGUGUGCUGGAAAACCAGUAGGCGCCCACCACAUUAGGUCACGACAGCUUGGAUAAGUAUUUAGGAAGAAUUAGAAGCCCUGGUCCAAGGGAUAACAAAUUUCUAAGGCCCAUUCAUUCCUCGAAUUUUUAUUAAAGGUCUCCUAUGAUUUCUGUGAAAUCAGUAACUUCUAUGUGCUCAAUAUUUGUGAUUCAAAAGUAUUUUUAUACACAUAGCAAAUAUUAUUUGAAUGCAGAAAAAAAUGUUGCCCAUCUGUUUUUUGGAGGGGAGAAAUGUCCAUUUUAUUUUGCUAAAUAUAAGCACAUGAACAGAUUUCCAUGGUAGAAAGUUUCAGUUGGACCAAAACUUGUGUGAAUCCCCCGCCCAACCUCCGGUGGCUCCGUGUGAAUCUUCUCUACUUAGAUACAGAUUCUGUUCCCACAUCUGGACAGUCAAUUGCCUGUUGGCAUAUGGUUAGAAGAUGUUUUAUGAUUAACUUUUGACUCAACAAUAUCUGGAAUAUUAUUCCACAAUUACUAUAUUUUAAGUUUUUAUGUUGCUCCAUAAUAGGAAGGUACCCUGGUACCUACAUAUUACCAGAUGGAUGUUACCAGUUCCUAUUGCUAGACAUUUAGGCUUUUCCCCCACUAUAUCAUUUCGAUGAACAUAAUUGUUACGUGUGUUUGUAAAUAUGGGCAAGUAGUUCUCUAAGGUAGAUCGCUAAAAUAAUACAGUGGUUAAGAUCACAGACCCUGGAGUCAAACUGUAAGGAUUCAGGUUCCAGCUCUGCUAUAUACUUGUGCAUUGUUCUUACUGCCCAGUAAUUUUAAGGCAAGUUUCAUCGACUUAGAGCCUAAAUUCAGAAAUAUGAACACUUUGAUGAAUUUUCCCAAAGUGAGUAUGUACCUAGGGCACAGACUAGAAAUAGACACCAGGAACCCUUUCAUCCUUCCUCAGAAAGUACUUCUAUUCAAGGUGAGCAAUAUCAUGACCUCUAAGACCAUAUAUUUGUUUUAUUACUUUUUAAACUUUAUGUAAAUGGAAUAAUAAUUAUGAGUAUUUUGGGGGGAGGUCUGAGUUAAUUCACUCAAUAGCAUGUGUAUGAAAUUCAUCAUAUUGUUGUGUGUAGCUGUAAUUUUACUCACAUGCUAAUUGCUAUAGAGUAUUCCAUUGUGUGGAUGUAUCACAGGUUUUCCAUUCUACUGGUGGUGAACAUGUGGAUUGUUUACAGUUUGGGUUAUUACAAAUAGUGCUAAUAUGAACAUUCUUGUACAUUCUGGUGAGGUUUUGAGGGUUACAAAUAAUGCUGCUUAUUAAUAAUCUUGUCCAUUUCUUUUGGUGAACAUACAUGUGCAUUUCUGUUGGAUAUAUAUGUAAGAAGUGCAUUUACUGGAUCAUAAGUUAUGUAUAUGCUCAAUUAUAGUCAAUAAUGCUUAACAGUUUUUCAAAGUAGUUGUGACAAUAUACACUCCCAGGAACAUGUGAGACUUACACCUGCUCCAUAUCCUUGCCAAUAAUUGCCAAAAUCUUUUUCAUUUUAACCAUUUUGCUGAAUGGAGAUUGUCUAGUAAUACUUGAAGAAUUUUAAAAUUUUGUUAGUAGAGGAAACAAUUUAGGAUAUCACUCUCCACAGAUUAAAGUUGUAUAUGGUAAUCUAGAGUUUUCUGGAAUUGAUAAAAUAAUUUUUUCUUAGAAAAUUAAAAGGUGGUGGAAAUCAAUUGUUUUCUGAUUCCAGCAAGUUACUGGCUCCCUGGGAAUGGAUUAAUUUUGUUUGGAUUAUUCCAUGUAAUGAAGGUUUCUCUGUCAGACUCUAGAACCUGGGUUUGAACAUUACCCCCAUUUUAAAGCUGAAUCCCAAAAUUCAAUAAAAUUAGUCCUCUAAAGUUUUGAAAGUAUUGUUUCUGGUACAUUAUGCAAUUUCAAAUAUUACUACUCAACCUAGGAUUAGGACUGCAAAUUCAUGGCUUACAUUCUAUCAUCCCCCAUCUCUGACCAGGCAAAUUGCAACAGAUGGUGUGAAUCACAGAAUUCAUUCCUACUGACUUAUACAUGGUUUCAGAUUUUUUUUUUUCCCUCAAUCCAGUGCUCUACUGUUGUUUGCAAGUGUGGUGUCACAUUAAGACACUUUUUUUCAUCCUAUACCUCAAGUUAUAAGGUAAUUUGCUGAGUCUUAAAGCUUCCUAAAAUGUUGCCAUGUUUGUCAGCCCUGUAUUAGGCCAAAAGAAAUGAGACUCAUUCUUAGAAAGCUGUAAUUUAAAUCUAUUACUUAAUCAUAGUGACUGAGGAGCUGGCUUACUUUUAGUUUAGUAUUGUUUCAUUUUUAAAUUUCCUUUUUUCCUUUCUAUUUAAUAUUUAAUAAUUUUUUUUUCCAUUUGGACUAGCAAAAAUUCUGAAAGGGUUGCUACAGCUUCAUAGGUCAAAUUAAGUUUUGCUAGGAGACACUGAAAUCAGAUAUCCCAUAUCUGUGGCAUCUUCAGUUUGUGGGGGCACAGCACCCAGACAUAUAGGUGCUCUGUAGAGAAGCUCUAGGAAUCUGCAGGGGUGUCAAAAGGGCUUUCGUUGUUUGCUAAAGAGCACAUGCAUAGAAUGAAGUGCCAUAAUGUCUGACAAAAAGCUGUUACUGGGAACUGUAAAUUGUACAAUUCCCAGAGCUUACCCAUGGUGGGGGAGAGAUUUGAGGUUUUGCCACCAGAGUAGCAAGACGUCAUUGAAAAUCUUGGGUGUGGGGCGCCUGGGUGGCUCAGUUGUUAAGCUUCUGCCUUCAGCUCAGAUCAUGAUCCCAGGGUUCUGGGAUCGAGCCCCACAUCAGGCUCCCUGCUCUUCGGGAAACCUGCCUUUCCCUCUGCCCCAGGAUCACACUGAUUAGUGGGCAACUGCCUGCCAAAUUCAACAUUUCAAAUGAAUAAAACAAAAUCUAAAAUCUUAAGAACAUAGGAUUUAUGGUGUCUAAUACCCAAUAACAAUCAUGACAUGCAAAUAAACAGGAAAAUGCAAAGAAGAAAAUCAAAAGAAACUGAUCUGAAAUGAGAUUAAUGUAGUAGCAGAUAACACUGAACUUUAACUAUUAUACAUAUAUACAUAUAUGUAUGUUAUGGAAAACAUGAACAUAAUGAGAGAGGUGGAAGAUAUUGAAAAGGGAACUUCAGAGCUCAAAAUUCAGUAUCUGAGUGGGAAAUUCACCUCUGGAUUAUCAGCUGCUUAGGCACUGCAGAAGAAAAGAAUAGUGAACUUGAAGAUAUUGCAAUAGAAACUAUUCAGAUUGAACUACAGAAAAAAAAAAAAAAGUAGUAAUAAAAAGAACACAUUCUCAGUGACCUGAAAAAUAGUCCAAGUGAUCUAAUGUAUGUGUAAUUGGAAUUCCUGAAAAGAUCAGGGAGAGGAGAAAGAGAAAAGAGUUGAAGGAAAAGUGGAUUAAUUUUUUUCAGACAAGAUGAGAACGGAUUCCUAAAACUAAGAAACUCAACAAAUUCCAUACAGGAUAAUGGAAAGGAAAACUAUUAUAAGUCAUAUCAUAUUCCAAUUGUGGGGAACCACUGAUAAAGUGAAGCUCUGAAAAGCAGCCAGAGGGAAAAAAGAAAUAUUAAAUACUGGGGUACCAAGAUAAAAUCACUACUGAUUUUUUGUCAGAAAUAAGGCAAAACAAGGAAUGGAAUGAUAACUUUAAUAUACUCUUAAAAAGUUAACCUAGGGUUCUAUGUCAAGUGAAAAUAUCCUUUAAAAAUGAGAACAACAUGAAGACAUUUUGGGGCAGACAAAAGCGAAGAGUUUUUCCAGGAAACCCGAAUUACAAGAGAUGUUAAAAGAAGUUCUUCUACAGGAAGAAAAAUGAUACCAGAUAUAAACCUCAUUCCGUACAAGUGAACGAAGAAUGCCGGAAGUGGUAAAUAUGGGGGAAAAUAUGAGAUUUUUUCCAGUUUUAAAAAGAUUUUAUUUAUUUACUUAGAGAGCACAAGGGUGAGGAGCAGGGGAAGAAGCAGACUUCUCACCCAGCAGGGACCCCAAUGUGGGGCUCCAUCCUGGGACUCUAGGAUCAUUACCUGAGCCGAAGACAAGAUGCUUAACCAACUGAGCCUUCCAGGUGCCUCUGGAUUUUUUUUUUUUUCAUUUUUAUCUCAUUUAAAAAAAUUACCUUUUAAAAGCAAAUGUAGUCACAGUUUAUGGUGGGAUUUAGAGUUUGAAGUAAAAUAUAUGAAAGUGGUAGCAUAAAGAUUGACAGAUCUCACUUCAGCUGGGUAUAAUUUUCUGUAUUCAUCUGGUGUUUUUUAGUGCAUGAAAUCACACAUAAAAUCAAAAUUUAAGUUAUAUUAAAUUUUUCUUUACUGCAUUAGAACAAAUUUGCGAACUGAUUGCACAGUUCACUGAGUAUGACAGAAGUUUAUACUCAUGUGACUAUGAUGAAAAUCAAGAUGCAGAUCAUUUCCAUGACCUCAAAGAGUUUACUUAGUACACUUUGUACUAAUUUCUGCCUUAGGCUCAAGCAAUAUUAGAUUUGCAUUCUGUCACUAGUUUUUCUUGCUCUACAUUUUCAUAUAACUGGAUCAUGUGAUGGGAUACUUGUAUUUUAUGUUUGGUUUCUUUUCCUUAGAAUAAUGUUUUGAAAUUCAUCUGUGUUGCUGUGUAUAUCGAAUACAUUGUCCUUUUUUUAUUGCUGAAAUAUAUUCCCUCAUAUAGAUAUGCCAAGUGUAUUUAUCCAUUCAACAGAGGGGUAUUUGUGUUGUUUCCAGUUUGGGGCUAUUAUGAAUAAGACUUCUGUGAAUAUUCAUGUACAAGUUUUUUUGUGGACAUUUGCUUUCAUUUCCCUCGGUUGAAUAAUGGAAGUGCUAGGUCAUAUGGUAACUGACAACUUUCUUAAGAAACAACCGUAUAGGUCUACAAAGUGGUUGUACCAUCUUAUACUCCCACCAGCGAUGUCUAAAAGUUGAAAUUACUUCAUAUCCUCAGUUGGGUUUUUCAUCUGUUUAAUUUUAGCUAUUCUGGUGGGUGUGUAGUGGUAUCAUUGUGAUUUCAAUUUGCAUUUCUCUGGUGACUAAUGAUGUUGAGCUUCUUUUCAUGUGCUAAUUAGAUGUUCUCAUAUCUUCUUUUGUAAUUAGAACAAGGUGUCUGUUCAAAUGUUUUGCUCUUUAAAAAAUAGGUUGUUUUAUUAUUCAGUUAUGAGAGUACUUUAUAUAAUCUGGUUUCAAGUCCCUUGUAAUAUAUAUGUUGCAGAUAUUUUCUUCAAGUUGUAGACUGACUUUUCAUUUUCUUAGUUAUGUCAAAGAGUGGACUUUACAAGCUUCCUAUCUGUUUUAUUAAUAUUUCUUGAAUGAUCAAUGCUUUCUAUGUCCUAAGGUAUCUUCUCCCUUCCCAAAGUUGCAAAAGUUUUCUUCUAUAUUUUGCUGUAUUACAUUUCUUCUAUAAGGUUUAUAAGUUUUAACCUUCAUUUUUAGGUUUCUGAUUUAUUUCAGACAGAUUUUUUUUUUUUUGCCUGGUAUGAUUGAAGUGGAUUUUUUUCCAUGUAAAUCUAAUUUUUCUCACACCAUUUGUUGAAAAGACCAUCUGUUCUCCCAUCUUUGGCACCUUGGUCAAAAUUAAUUAAUCGUGUACGUAUAGGUGUAUUUUUGAACUCUCCAUUUUGUUCCAUAGACCUAUUUAUCUGUCUAUAUACUAAUACUGCACUGUCUUGAUAACUAUAAUUUAUGGUAAGUCUUUUUUUUUUAAGAUUUUUAUUUAUUUAUUUGACAGAGAUUACAAGUAGGCAGAGAGGCAGGCAGAGAGGAAGGGAAGCAGGCUCCCUGCCGAGCAGAGAGCCCGAUGCGGGGCUUGAUCCCAGGACACUGGGAUCAUGGACUUGAGCCGAAGGCAGAGGCUUUAACCCACUGAGCCACCCAGGCGCCCCUAUGGAUGGAAUGUUCUGGACCAGAUGGACUUAACGGAUCUAUUCAUUUUGCAAAUACUGUUUUCUCUGCUGUCAAGGACUGGGCUAGGUCCAGGUGACAGGAGCGGAUAAAUGCGGAAGGCCCAGGGAUCUCGAGGAAGAGAAAAGGGAGGAAGAAAAGGAAGCAUCUAGACAACCCAUCAUCUCUAGAAUAUCACGGAAGUAGCUAGCGUUGACCGUUUUCCCAAGGCAUUAGUAACUGGAAACAGCUCUGCCCAUCUCAAUCUGUCCUUGGACAGUAUCUUGAGUGACAUGAUAUUACCCUAUUAUGUGAACAAAGACACUGAUUUUAAUUACAUGGAAAUUGAUGUUUACUGCGAGCUUUAUAUGAAGAGUAAUUACUACAUUGAAAAAGAUCCAAAGAGUAGUUAUUCAUCUUUAUGAGCUUUGAUUUGUGUGUAAAUGCAUCUUAUCUCUAGUCUUCAAUAGUGAGAAUGAAUUUGUGCAUUAGAGUCACAUUUAUAUGUCAUUUUUUCCCCCAGAUUCCUAGUGCAUGUGUGGUUUUUGCCUAUCCACAAAAGUUGACUUCAAGUCUUUGUUUAGCUUACUUCUGUCUCAGUAUAUUGCUGCUUAAUUUUUCCCUAAGUAUGCUUGGGCAUACUAUCAGAAUUUUUGCUUCCAUGACUAGAAACAUUGCCUUUCUCAAGGUCAGAGAUUUGUCUUAAUCAAUUUUGCAGAUCUCCCAACAAAGCUCAAAGUUUGGCUUAUAGGAAGCAUUCAAAUAAAAGUUGAAGGAAAUAAAUCUAGCUCAAAUAGAUGAUUUGAGACAAAUGAAAUAAUCUGCAUUCCUUUAUCUGAAAAAGAGAUAGUUUGAUUUAUAUCACCAGUGUAUGUAUAUAUUGAGGAUCAAUAUAUAAGGCUAGGAGAUUAAUUGCUCAGAAGAUGAUUAUUGUAGAAAAUUCAAGGGAAAAAAAUCACCGUCUGUUUCUGUGCUGUGAUGUGUCUGCAUAAAACCCUACUCUCCUUGUUUUGCUGAGGUUGCAAGUACCUGAGUGAGUUGCGGCUCCCGCCCUCCUCGAUCUAUGUGGUGUCAAUACUUUACACAUUGCUCAUUUCCACUGAACAGCCGCUCUUCGGAUGGAGUGUAAUUUCAGAUUUUAAUUAGGAAUUAGAGCAAAGGUCAAUUGGUGUCUCACAGUGUGGGCUGAAAGAGAGGAGUAGAAGAUGAUUACACUUUUGUCUGGUGCCCAUUGCUCAUUUUAAAGGAGAACUUGAAGCUAACAAUGCUAUGAGGCCAGGUGUGUUUGCCCAUCUGCCGUCCCUGACAGCUGAAGCUACUUCAUCAACGUUGAUCCACAUGCUCUGGCAGGGUUCUUGGAUUUUACAAGGGUAACAGAUUCUAACAGACCCUCAAAGAGCCACACAACCAACUCUGGAAAUUUGGAGUUUACAGCAGAUUUAAUCCACCAGAGGGCCUACAAGGGGGAAACCUUGUCGACAGGUCUCCAAAGCCAGAAAAUCCUGCAUUACGAGAGGAGUAAAUCCAGUCCAAUACCUUGGAGAAGGAAAACCAGAGAUGGUUGUAGCUAUACCUGCCCUCAAGGAACUCUGUGUCUACGACUUCCUCUCUGUCCGUUAUCUUGACACUUUAAUCCUGCAAAUGCCAUGUUGCCCGACGAUGCCUUUAAAAAAUGAGUUGUGUUUGCCUUUCAGUUAUUUUACUACACAUAAUUUUUAUUCGAGUAAUUUGGGCAUGUGGCUAAGAGUAGUCAUUCCUUGCCCCAUCCGUCCCGCCGUUACCCCAUUCUCAAGAGUCAGCCACUGAUAACAAAUAUCUGGUAAUGCUUUUGUAUCUUUAAAUAGGCUUUUUCUAUCAUUGUCUGUUUUAUCAAUUUUAGACUCCAUGUAAAUGUGCUUUCUUUACAAUAAAAGUGAUCUGAGAUAUUCA